rfam:Ictidomys tridecemlineatus contig001535, whole genome shotgun sequence.
AAUUCCAGCGAGAGACAGAGGGAGUGAGCGGGCGAACCCGUGAGGGUGGAAGAACCGAGCAGAGCCGCGCUCCGGGCGUCCUAGGAAGGGAAACCCGGAGUGAAAGGAGGCUUCGUCUUCUGACUAGCCGCCCCCACCCCAGCCCUCCCGCGGAGCCCCACCAGGGGUCCGCAGCCGGGAAACUUUGCCCUUUGCUGCGGGCGGACACUUUGCACUGGAACUUAAAAUACCCGAUCGAGGACGCGACUCUCCGGAGCGGGGAGGCUAUACUGCCUAUUUGGGGACACUUUUCCCCGCCUU